GUUUGUUCAGGGAAGUGUUUGGUGCAUCCUUCACAUUGCCCUCCUGUGGUCUUUUCCAGUUGUGUUCAUUUCUUAUUGAGAUGGAGAGUUCAAAAAGACACACAGUAGUCAAAGUUGGCUUUGGGAAUCUUUUUGACAGCUUCUGAGUGUGAAGCUGAUGUUUUCCUGAAGCUAUUCACCAUAACGCCAACAUCCGGCUCCUGAUUACUGGCGGACAGUGAAGAACCUGUCGUUUUCCACAUGAAAUCAGUUUGCUUUUCUGAAGCACAGAGCUUUAUCUGUAUUGCAGAGCAGACUGUGCUUCCUCUGAUGAUUCCUUCUGGGUAUGACUAGAUGAGCUGUGCCUUGGGCAGUGGAGCUCAGAAAUUCAAUCUCUGCAGUUAACCAUAAAGCAUGUGAGAGAAGCAGGUGAGCUUGUUGCACCUUGAUUCCAUU